CUGUGUAAAGAGAAAACACUAAAUGAACUAAGGAUUCAUAAAUUGAUUGAAGAGAAAUAACAUUAAAAGAAGCAAGAACUUGUCAAUUGAUUAAAGGAAAGGCAAUCAACUGAAAUAUAGCAGACAUACGAAUAAAAUGCAUUUUGUAGCCUAAAUUACAGAUAUUAAUAUGCCAUCUCCCCAAGAACUAUCUGAAGAAGGACAAAUAAGCACACCCCUGCUAAUAUAUAAUUUAGAAGGUGUAAGUAUUAUGAAAUAAUUAAUUCCAGUAGGCCUUCAUAAACCUCUCCCCACCAAACCGUCCCUCUAUGUGUACGGAGUAACUGCCACUUAAUACGUGUGUCAACCAUGGCUGUAGGCACAAUAUUCAUAAUGAGCAGCUACAACUACUACUUGAUGCACACAUUUCGCCCAAAGCACUAACCCGAACAUGUACUGCCGAAAACAGGGGACACACAUGUUUGCCCAAUCAGCAAACAGAAAGCAAAUCACCAGGGUAAACAUAAGCAAACAAGAACAUGCUACUAUUAAUGCAAUUAACAAGCACCAACCAUUGGUUCUUUCUAACCAGAUCAAGUUAAUUGCAUGUGAGAAUAGCACAUCUGUUCUGAAAGUAGGAUCUUCUGUGUAAAGAGAAAACACUAAAUGAACUAAGGAUUCAUAAAUUGAUUGAAGAGAAAUAACAUUAAAAGAAGCAAGAACUUGUCAAUUGAUUGAAGGAAAAGCAAUCAACUGAAAUAUAGCAGACAUACGAAUAAAAUGCAUUUUGUAGCCUAAAUUAUAGAUAUUAAUAUGCCAUCUCCCCAAGAACUAUCUGAAGAGGGACAAAUAAGCACACCCCUGCUAAUAUAUAAUUUAGAAGGUGUAAGUAUUAUGAAAUAAUUAAUUCCAGUAGGCCUUCAUAAACCUCUCCCCACCAA
rnacentral:lncRNA from 1 species